CAUCCACUAUCCGCCCGGGAACUACGAGCACUAGCUUAAAACCCAAAGACUUGGCGGCGUUUACAUCCACCUAGAGGAGCCUGUUCUAGAACCGAUAAUCCCCGUUAAACCUCACCCUCCCUUGCCAUCCCCGCCUAUAUACCGCCGUCGUCAGCCUACCCUGUGAAGGCCCAGAAGUUAGCAAAAUCAGUACAACUCAAAACGUCAGGUCGAGGUGUAGCAUAUGAGAGGGGCUGAAAUGGGCUACACUCCCUAUGAUAGGGAACACGGAAAGUAUACUGAAACGUAUGCAUUGAAGGAGGAUUUAGUAGUAAGCAGAAAAUAGAGCGUUCUGCUGAAUCUGGCUCUAAAGCACGUACACAC
rnacentral:rRNA from 1 species